rnacentral:lncRNA from 1 species
AACCAACGGUCUAAAAAAUUAGCACAUCUCCUCAUGGAAUAAUAUUGUACCCAAAAAUAAUUUGAACCAAAAAGAAAUAUAUCUUACGGGUGAAUAGUAUCCCAUAAAUAGUAACUCAUGAAUAGUAACUCAUGAGUAGUAACUCGUGAAUAGUAACUCAUGAAUAGUAACUUAUGAAUAGUAACUCAUGAAUAGUACUCUAACAUGAAAAGUGCCCCGAAUACCCGAUUGAACAAUAUAACCUCCAGACAUCAAUUAUUAUCGAAACAAAUGUCGAUUUCCACUAACACUAAUAAUCCCAACACAAUGGAACUAUCAAUUCAUCUUUAAUCAACACGAACUUAUUCAUCAUUAAUAUUAUAAUUUAUAAUAUUUAACAACCAGGUCGUUCCCAGGAAAGAGGGGGCUUUCCGAUAAGUAUUUCUCCUU